GCCACGCCCGAAGUCGUUACCUCAACCGCAAGGAGGGGGAUGCCUAAGGCAGGGCUAGUGACUGGGGUGAAGUCGUAACAAGGUAGCCGUACCGGAAGGUGUGGCUGGAUCACCUCCUUAAAGGGAGACCUAAUUCCGGUAGGAGACGAAAAAAAAGUAGUCGCUACCAAGAAUCAAUCCCAAAAGGUCGGAGCGAGGCGAAAUUGGCUUUCAAACUAGGUUCUGGGUUCAACAAGACCUGAAUCAGGAACAAGGGCUAUUAGCUCAGGUGGUUAGAGCGCACCCCUGAUAAGGGUGAGGUCCCUGGUUCGAGUCCAGGAUGGCCCACCUGCACAGGUGGCAAAAACAAGAGAAGCGAGGAAUCAGCACCUUAUCUUACUUAUAUAGUAAGAGAGAAUGCUGGCUCUGAGUAAAGAGUCCAGAGGAACCUUGAAAACUGCAUAGAGCUAGGUGAAAAAGCCAAAAAAGAAGACCGCAAGGUCAAGCUAAUAAGGGCUAACGGUGGAUACCUAGGCACACAGAGG
rnacentral:sRNA from 1 species